rnacentral:rRNA from 1 species
GAUGAACGCUGGCGGCGUGCCUAACACAUGCCAGUCGAACGGAGAUUCCGGACGGACGUUUUCGGAUGGAAGCCUGUAAUUCUUAGUGGCGGACGGGUGAGUAACGCGUGGGCAACCUGCCCUAUACAGGGGGAUAGCAGCUGGAAACGGCUGGUAAGACCGCAUAAGUCGGUUAAAUCGCAUGAUUUGAUCGGGAAAUGAGCAAUCAGGUAUAGGAUGGGCCCGCGUCCGAUUAGCCAGUUGGCAGGGUAAAAGCCUACCAAAGCGACGAUCGGUAGCCGGACUGAGAGGUCGGACGGCCACAGUGGGACUGAGACACGGCCCAAACUCCUACGGGAGGCAGCAGUGGGGGAUAUUGCACAAUGGAGGAAACUCUGAUGCAGCGACGCCGCGUGAGUGAAGAAGUAUUUCGGGAUGUAAAGCUCUAUCAGCAGGGAAGAUGAUGACGGUACCUGACUAAGAAGCCCCGGCUAACUACGUG